CUCUCCUCCUUUGGCAGAUGCAUUUAUUGAUACAAACUUAUUCCAAAAUGAUAUUGUUAAACUUAAUAAAAUACCAUUGUAUGCACACAGUUUCGAUUCUAUAAUUGACAAACCUAUCACCAUAUUCCCUCGGUAUUCAGAUUGUAAUAUCUUAAACCAAGCCAUGAUAAAAUCCAUUGUAAAUGGUCUCGGGUCGAACUUAACUAAAAUAUAUACAGAUGGGUCAAAAACGGAGCUAAACACAGGUUCGGCAUUUUUUGUUUCAAACAUAAAUCAUAUUGAAAAGUACAGAAUCUCAAAUUAUUGUUCCAUUUUUACCGCCGAGUCCUUUGCUAUUGAAAAGGCACUAAAAUGGUGUGCAACUCAAACAUGCACGAAUGUGGCAAUAAUUUCAGACUCAAAAUCAGCAUUACAAGCUAUUAGCGGUCACCCAAUAAACCAAUUCCGAAAUGCCUUAAUUUUGAACAUUAAAAAAUUAAUUAUGGAUCUUAAACAAAAUAAUGUAACUGUUUCGUUUAUUUGGACGAAAGGACAUUGCGGAGUCGAAGGUAAUGAAAUUGCGGAUAUAGCCGCAAAAAGUAGUCA
rnacentral:lncRNA from 1 species